CUCUUUGGUUAUCUAGCUGUAUGAGUGCACUUUAAACGUCAUAAAGCUAGCAUACCGAAGUU
rfam:Anopheles dirus strain WRAIR2 unplaced genomic scaffold supercont1.1, whole genome shotgun sequence.